UGGGAGGGAAUUAGGGAUAGAGUAAGUUUCUAAGGAAUUUGGAAACAAGGUUUCCAGGACCUUGAGGGGCUAGCUGCUGUUAGGAAAUGGCCAUGAAUUACCAUUUAGCAAAAACUCAGUCAUGAGACCCUUCGGAUUGGGGGGCAUAAGCUUGGAGUAUGAUUGUCAACAUAUAUCUUGUGAGGGUAGACAUAAAGAAAACUUCCAAAGGAAUUUUUGUAUGUUUAAAGUAGACUCACAGUAUCCUGGAGAGUUGGGCUAAGAUUCCCAUUUGUUCUUACCGGAGUGUCAACAUCAAGGUAGCUGAGCUCCCAGAGGAAGAUCACUCUGCCUGUUUCAAGGCCUUAUCAAUGGGAUGUAGGCAGUAAGGAAAUUUAAUUUUUCAUUUGCCUUUGUUUCCCACAUCAAUCUCCCUUGGCUUUUCUCUUCAUCAAGGAACCUCUAGACCCCGCCUGCAAGUGUGGUCUUAUCCCUGAUCUCUGACCAAUCCUGGGAUUCAUUAGCAGAAAGUGAAAGUAGAACACCCAGGGCCAGCCCUGUGAUCCACAGCUUUGGGUCAGACCUGCUGCCAGCUGGGCUUAGAGCUUAUGCAAUAGACAGGAGCACUUCUGAGUUUUGGUGGGCCCAAAGCAUAUACAAUUUUAAGGGCAUAUUUAAGAAAAAAGAUGCAAAUUUAUGAAUACAAAAUUAGGUAUAAGGUCUUAGAAGGGGCCAUCCGAGAGAGGAGUCUUAAAACCUAACCUUUAUUUACUUCACACUAACUCUGCCUCUUUUCCUAAAUUUGUAUCUUGAUGAGAAAAACUACUCUAGCUAGAUCUGUUUCUUUCACACAAGGUUCUCCAAGAAGAGAGACCAUGGAGCCAGGAAGAGGAGGCCCACAAAUCAAUGAGAGACACUGAAGAAAUGACUGGAGAUCUGGCUUCAAAACAGGAUGAAUGACUGCCCAAUGCUGACCCCUUCCUCAGCCGCCACAGCCCUGGCCAAGAGGGAGGCCUCUGGCAUCUGCACAGUAGCCACCUCCUGUUAAGGUGGUGCCCGCUGGGGAAAACAGAAUGAAGCCUACCUGGUCGUCAGCUCCAAAGGAGAAGGUCCAGCAAACCUGUGUGAGAAACAUCAAGCUGCAGGAUUUCUCAGGCCUGUCUCAAGAGAGGGAGUUCAAUGAAGGUUCAAAGAGGAUGGAGAAGAUGUGAAAUAAUGUGGAGAAUAAAAUUCUGAACUGACCAAAGAAACGUAUAAAUGUGACUGGGCAGCCAUUGCCCCAUGGGGUAAAAUGUCCCUAGAGAGAGAGAG